AGGCAAUGUGAGCAGUGCAUGGUGGCUGCACCAUCAUGCUUAAUAUGCUCAAAGAUUGUUUCCAUGACAAAACCACAGAUGAAAGCCAUUAAUACUAGACGGUCUGCAUACUUUAUUGCAAAUCACAUGACCGGGCCCCAGAAUCUGAUACUUUUUUUUGAUAUUACAUAUGUAUUUCAUGUAGGCAGUCUUUCCAGCAUCUAUUUAUGUCCUUGGUAUCAAGUGCUUCUUUUCCUUAUGAAAAUGAAAGCUUUUCUUCAUCAACAACAUCUCUUCAAGGCAUCUUGAUUCUCUCUGCAAUUUUUAAAUGUUUCUGAAGCUUUUUCUAAGCUUGUAAUGUAUGAAGGCCAUUUAUCUGCAGCUACAUUAAAAAUAGUAUCAUUGAUUUACAUUCUCUCAAAAGCAAUUUUUUUCUAGUCAUAGAAACAGUUCUUUUUCUACUACUUUAUUAGUUCUAGUUAUUACAGAAUCAAGGAACUUCUUGAAAAGGGAAGGAUACUUCCCCACGACAGCCAAUUAUUUUAGAAAUACUCUACAUAAUGCUUUUUUAUUAUUGAUGUUGGAUGCUGAGUUUCACCCCUUAGUGGCUGGACAACUCCUCCUACCUUUUUUUAAACAAAAACUUCAAUAAUAUUUCUUAUUCUAAAUCAUCUCUUAACUUUUGCAAUCACCACAGAACAACUUCAUAGGGAUUUUACCUCAAGGUAUCAAGCACUACAGAGGCAAGAAGACCUUUUCUGCUUCUCAAACUGCAUGUGUGAAUAUCGCCAGUUUCUUGGGCUGAAACUGCACAUGCUACAACCUUGGUGAAGUACACAGACACAUACAAGGACCUUUUUAUCUUUGAGAAACAGCUAAGUCAAGGACUUAACAACCACCAAGUAAAAAAUAAAUCCUUCAUUUCACAACGUAAAAUUAAAUGAUCUUUUUAAAAACAUUACCAAAUGGGUACACUGAAGGUGAGGAGAAAGCUCAACUCAGAAAUCUCUCCCAGCCCAGUUUUUGUUCUCCUGUAAACUGGACCUGCAUCCUCAUCCUUCUCCUCAAAUGCUUGCCUUUUAAUAUUUUGUUACACAGGCAAGAGUCACAGUCAUGUUAGCUCCAGUAAUGUGGCCUCUGUGUGGCAGAGGGAAAACAGCAUGGGGUGCAAAGUCAGAGAGGUCUGGAUUUGAAUCACAGUUCUGUUAUUUACUUUCUGUGUGACCUUGAGUCAGUUUCCUUAGCCCCCUAGGCCAUAAAUCCUUUAUCUGUAAAAUGAGGAGAAUAGCAUCUACCUGAAUGAUUGUUUUAAGGACUAAAUGAAAUAAUGUAUAUGAAGCACCUAGCAUUUAGUAGAGGCUUAAUAAAUGUUAUUACGGUCAGUUCAAGAUUUACAAUUCAUCCAUUACCAAUUUCUCUAACCUGCUGAUAAUUUCCUAUAGUUUCCACUCUUCAAUUAUCACCCCUUGCCAUAGCUUCUUCUGAAUGACUAUUCAUCCAUCUAGCCUGGGUCAAGCCAGUCUAAUUCCAUAACAGUGUUCAUCAUCACAGAAGCUUUUGCUCUUUAAAUCAGAGUGUGAAAGGGGAGGCACUGAGGUUCAUUCUUUGGCAUUCUUUGGGUAUAGCCCAGAACUAGCCAGCCACUGCUUCCUGGUCUCCAGCCAGACUGGUAGUCCCAACUCUCUAGGCCAGGCUCUUGGUCUGUGUCCCAGGAAACACAAGGCAAACUCAUGGCCACAUUUCUGGGACACCUAUCUCACCAGCAUCAAGUGGCUUUCUCUGGUUCUCGAUAAUCUUUCAAUAUUUGUAGUGAUGGUUGUGGUAUUUCCCUCCAAGAAAUCCAGAGUGAAACCACGUCUCUGCCAUCUUCAAAGGUACUGAAGCCCCAUUGGCCACUGCUUCUGUGCCCAAAAUCUGCACACCUUCUUGCUUUAGUUAGUCACCUCAUGGGACAGAGCAGAGAGGCCACAGCUCUGAGACCAUGGCUCAAUGAGCACUUCCUGGGUGAAGCCAGGAGGGCCUCACAGAGAUUCCCUUUGGGACUCAGCAGCAGGUAGAAUGGUGGCCACUUGGCUCUCUUGCUCCUGGUUUCUUGGCAACUUUGCCUUUGAGACUGAGUAGAGCUGAGAGAGUUCAAUGAGGCCAGCUGGGCAUGUCUUGAUUGAGAAUGGCAUCAAGUUUCCACUCAAUUACUUACACAAGGCUCUCAGUGUGUUUAGCCUACAUGUUACUAACUCACCAAUAAACCAUGUUUAGAGCUCAGUCUUGAAAGUGACUACUGCCUUUCAGUGACACUAUCCCAAAGGCAUCUCAGAGUUGGUUUUCGCAUGUGUGCAUUCUCUCUCUUUCUUUAUCUUUCCCUUCUUCCAUCUCCCCCUCCAUCUCCCUCAUCUCCCCCCUCUAUGUCUACACUUCUCUCAGGGCUAUAGUCAGUGCACUAGCAGGGCCUUGCUAGAAGGGUCCAAGUAGGAAAGCCCUCUUUCUCACACUGGGCCAUAUUAUAAUUACACAGACCCUAAAGACAGGCUAUGGCCCAGGCUUCUGCAUGGGAACACAAGCAAUGACA
rnacentral:lncRNA from 1 species